AACGUAGGAGACAAACGUUAUCCGGAGUUACUGGGCGUAAAGGGCGUGUAGGUGGUUUCGUAAGUCUGGCGUGAAAUUUUUCGGCUUAACCGGGAAAGGUCGUCGGAUACUGCGGAACUAGAGGACGGUAGAGGCGUGUGGAAUUCCGGGUGUAGUGGUGAAAUGCGUAGAGAUCCGGAGGAACACCGGUGGCGAAGGCGGGUCUCUGGGCAGUAACUGACGCUGGAGGAGCGAAGCGUGGGGAGCGAACAGG
rnacentral:rRNA from 1 species